ACGAUAGAGGUGCAGAAAAGAUGAGUAGCCGGGGUUCGGGGCGGUUCCCGCCGGCAGAAAGGCUUUUUUGCCGAAAUCGGGUGUGCAUACCGCAGAGCAGUCGGUUGGGGUAAGGCAGAAUAUGUCUUGCACUGUCACUUUUUGUGGAGCGCUAUCUGA
rnacentral:ncRNA from 1 species